rnacentral:rRNA from 1 species
GACGAACGCUGGCGGCGUGCUUAACACAUGCAAGUCGAACGGAAAGGCCCUUCGGGGUACUCGAGUGGCGAACGGGUGAGUAACACGUGGGUGAUCUGCCCUGCACUUUGGGAUAAGCCUGGGAAACUUGGUCUAAUACCGAAUAUGAUCAUCGGCUUCAUGGUCGGUGGUGGAACGCUUUUGCGGUGUGGGAUGGGCCCGCGGCCUAUCAGCUUGUUGGUGGGGUAAUGGCCUACCAAGGCGACGACGGGUAGCCGGCCUGAGAGGGUGACCGGCCACACUGGGACUGAGAUACGGCCCAGACUCCUACGGGAGGCAGCAGUGGGGAAUAUUGCACAAUGGGCGCAAGCCUGAUGCAGCGACGCAGCGUGAGGGAUGACGGCCUUCGGGUUGUAAACCUCUUUCAGCACAGACGAAGCGCAAGUGACGGUAUGUGCAGAAGAAGGACCGGCCAACUACGUG